CUUAGCAGGCUGACUACUUCUGAUUCUGGAAGCUAAGCAGAAUCAGGCCUAAUUAGUACUUGGAUGUGAGACCACCAAGGGAAAACCAGGGACUUGACUUGGC
rnacentral:rRNA from 1 species